UACGGAGGGCGCAAGCGUUGUUCGGAAUUACUGGGCGUAAAGCGCGUGUAGGCGGCUAGGCAAGUCGGGUGUGAAAGCCCGGGGCCUAACCACGGAACUGCAUUCGAAACUGCCUCGCUCGAGUCCCGGAGAGGAUGGUGGAAUUCGCGGUGUAGUGGCGAAAUGCGUAGAUAUCGGGAGGAACACCAGCGGCGAAGGCGGCCAUCUGGACUGUGUCUGACGCUGAGACGCGAAAGCGUGGGGAGCAAACAGG
rnacentral:rRNA from 1 species